rnacentral:rRNA from 1 species
UACGUAGGCAGCAGGCGUUGUUCGGAGUUACUGGGCGUAAAGGGUGCGUAGGCGGCUUUUUAAGUUUGGUGUGAAAUCUCCCGGCUCAACUGGGAGGGUGCGCCGAAUACUGAGAGGCUAGAGUGUGGGAGAGGAAAGUGGAAUUCCUGGUGUAGCGGUGAAAUGCGUAGAUAUCAGGAGGAACACCGGUGGCGAAGGCGGAUCUCUGGGCCAUUACUGACGCUGAGGAGCGAAAGCGUGGGGAGCGAACAGG